UACGUAGGGAGCAAGCGUUGUCCGGAAUCAUUGGGCGUAAAGCGCGCGUAGGCGGCCCUGUAAGUCCGUUGUGAAAGUCAAAGGCUCAACCUUUGAAAGCCGAUGGAUACUGCAGGGCUAGAGUGCAGAAGGGGCAACUGGAAUUCUCGGUGUAGCGGUGAAAUGCGUAGAUAUCGAGAGGAACACCUGCGGCGAAGGCGGGUUGCUGGGCUGACACUGACGCUGAGGCGCGAAAGCUAGGGGAGCGAACGGG
rnacentral:rRNA from 1 species